rnacentral:rRNA from 1 species
GACGAACGCUGGCGGCGUGCUUAACACAUGCAAGUCGAACGGAAAGGCCCUGCUUUUGUGGGGUGCUCGAGUGGCGAACGGGUGAGUAACACGUGAGUAACCUGCCCUUGACUUUGGGAUAACUUCAGGAAACUGGGGCUAAUACCGGAUAGGAGCUCCUGCUGCAUGGUGGGGGUUGGAAAGUUUCGGCGGUUGGGGAUGGACUCGCGGCUUAUCAGCUUGUUGGUGGGGUAGUGGCUUACCAAGGCUUUGACGGGUAGCCGGCCUGAGAGGGUGACCGGCCACAUUGGGACUGAGAUACGGCCCAGACUCCUACGGGAGGCAGCAGUGGGGAAUAUUGCACAAUGGGCGGAAGCCUGAUGCAGCAACGCCGCGUGCGGGAUGACGGCCUUCGGGUUGUAAACCGCUUUCGCCUGUGACGAAGCGUGAGUGACGGUAAUGGGUAAAGAAGCACCGGCUAACUACGUGCCAGCAGCCGCGGUGAUACGUAGGGUGCGAGCGUUGUCCGGAUUUAUUGGGCGUAAAGGGCUCGUAGGUGGUUGAUCGCGUCGGAAGUGUAAUCUUGGGGCUUAACCCUGAGCGUGCUUUCGAUACGGGUUGACUUGAGGAAGGUAGGGGAGAAUGGAAUUCCUGGUGGAGCGGUGGAAUGCGCAGAUAUCAGGAGGAACACCAGUGGCGAAGGCGGUUCUCUGGGCCUUUCCUGACGCUGAGGAGCGAAAGCGUGGGGAGCGAACAGGCUUAGAUACCCUGGUAGUCCACGCUGUAAACGGUGGGUACUAGGUGUGGGGUCCAUUCCACGGGUUCCGUGCCGUAGCUAACGCUUUAAGUACCCCGCCUGGGGAGUACGGCCGCAAGGCUAAAACUCAAAGGAAUUGACGGGACCCCGCACAAGCGGCGGAGCAUGCGGAUUAAUUCGAUGCAACGCGUGGAACCUUACCUGGGUUUGACAUGGAUCGGGAGCGCUCAGAGAUGGGUGUGCCUCUUUUGGGGUCGGUUCACAGGUGGUGCAUGGCUGUCGUCAGCUCGUGUCGUGAGAUGUUGGGUUAGGUCCCGCAACGAGCGCAACCCUUGUUCACUGUUGCCAGCACGUUAUGGUGGGGACUCAGUGGAGACCGCCGGGGUCAACUCGGAGGAAGGUGGGGAUGACGUCAAGUCAUCAUGCCCCUUAUGUCCAGGGCUUCACGCAUGCUACAAUGGCUGGUACAGAGAGUGGCGAGCCUGUGAGGGUGAGCGAAUCUCGGAAAGCCGGUCUCAGUUCGGAUCGGGGUCUGCAACUCGACCUCAUGAAGUCGGAGUCGCUAGUAAUCGCAGAUCAGCAACGCUGCGGUGAAUACGUUCCCGGGGCU